AUUCAGCUGACAGGUCUCAAAUAGGACGAAACGCGCGUCAAACUGGAU
rnacentral:hammerhead_ribozyme from 1 species